ACGGGUGAGUAACGCGUGGGUAACCUACCCUGUACACACGGAUAACAUACCGAAAGGUAUGCUAAUACGGGAUAAUAUAUUUGAGAGGCAUCUCUUAAAUAUCAAAGGUGAGCCAGUACAGGAUGGACCCGCGUCUGAUUAGCUAGUUGGUAAGGUAACGGCUUACCAAGGCGACGAUCGGUAGCCGACCUGAGAGGGUGAUCGGCCACAUUGGAACUGAGACACGGUCCAAACUCCUACGGGAGGCAGCAGUGGGGAAUAUUGCACAAUGGGCGAAAGCCUGAUGCAGCAACGCCGCGUGAGUGAUGAAGGCCUUCGGGUCGUAAAACUCUGUCCUCAAGGAAGAUAAUGACGGUACUUGAGGAGGAAGCCCCGGCUAACUACGUGCCAGCAGCCGCGGUAAUACGUAGGGGGCUAGCGUUAUCCGGAUUUACUGGGCGUAAAGGGUGCGUAGGCGGUCUUUCAAGUCAGGAGUGAAAGGCUACGGCUCAACCGUAGUAAGCUCUUGAAACUGGGAGACUUGAGUGCAGGAGAGGAGAGUGGAAUUCCUAGUGUAGCGGUGAAAUGCGUAGAUAUUAGGAGGAACACCAGUUGCGAAGGCGGCUCUCUGGACUGUAACUGACGCUGAGGCACGAAAGCGUGGGGAGCAAACAGGAUUAGAUACCCUGGUAGUCCACGCUGUAAA
rnacentral:rRNA from 1 species